CUUUUAUUUAUUACUUAUUACUUAUAAGUUACUCGACUUGAAAUAAAUUUUGAAAAUUCGAACAUUUUUACUGUAACUAUCCGUUAUAUAUUUAUCUCCGAUGUUCAUAACUUUAAAAGGAUCUUUUCGGUCUACGGGUGCCCACAUCUCUGACUCUGUUUCCACACAGUUAGGAUUUCCAGUGCGAGCAAAAGUCGUAAUAAUUCCAAUUAAUCUUUGGAUAGUCAAUUUCCCAGCCUCACACAGAUGCUCACGUCUUCUUGGGAAUAUGAAGCCCAACUCAUCAGCAUGGCAAA